AGGGCCACAGCAACGCGGGAUCUGAGCCGAGUCUGCAACCUACACCACAGCUCACGGCAACGCCAGAUCGUUAACCCACUGAGCAAGGGCAGGGACCGAACCCGCAACCUCAUGGUUCCUAGUCGGAUUCGUUAACCACUGCGCCACGACAGGAACUCCUGCUCUUUCUAAUUUAAAGCUUUUAGAUAAUUUUGAAAAUAUCCAUGAGGAAUCUAUAUCCUUCAGUGUACUUUACACGUCUAAACAAUUUAAAACAUAGCUUCAACUAAUACCACUCGUAUCUAUACAAUUUAAAAGCACUUUUACAUAUAUAAGCAUUUCAACUAAAGAAAAUGCACUAAUUGACUUUCAGAUUUCAGAUUUGGUGAUUAUAAACUAACAUGUUUUUUGCAUGAUUACUGAAUGCCUAAAAUAAGCCAAGAAAAUGCUCAUGCUCAUAUUGCACUAAAAGUUUUAAGUCCAUGUCUUGGAGAAAAAAACUGUUUAUGAUUAACCCUAAAAAACAUUUAUGUAGUAAAGAAACAUCUUCCAACUUAUAAAGAGGUAAAUCUUCAACAAUUUCCAAAGAGGCAAAGUUUCCCAGUGGUCUUGUUAUAAAAAAGUAAAGAUACCUACACAUAAUUUCACAAUAUAAAGCCAAAGAAGAGAAAACUAGAAACUGUGUGUGUUCUGAGCAUGACCAUAUUUGCAUUGCAUGAUCCUCUUGGCAUUCUCCUUUCUAACUUCAUUCCCAUAAGACCAACCUCAAAGCUCUCCUCUUUUAACCAACCCCCACUGACCGGAGUGGACAGUGCUGGGCAGCAAAUCCUACAGCCUAAGUCACUGGCCACAACAGAGGUAGAGCACUGCUCCUAGCCAUUCUGUACCUCUGGACUUGGCAACAAUUCCACAAACACACAGACACACACAAUUAUACCCACAUACCCAGGCCAUCCUCAAAAUCAUCCAGUAAUCUUUCACUUUAAAAAAAUCACCUCACAACUCAAAAGUUUUUCGACAGCUCCCCAGUGCACUCAGGAUAAAAAUCCAAAGCCUUAAGCAUCACUUGCUCUCACCACCUCGGCCUCAUUUCUAUC
rnacentral:lncRNA from 1 species